AGCUCCAAUAGCGUAUAUUAAAGUUGUUGCAGUUAAAAAGCUCGUAGUUGGAUUUCUGGUAGGAGUGACCGUGCCGAACUUGAUUGUUCGUGUAUUGUGUUGUCUCCAGCCAUCCUCGUGGAGAACUUUUCUAGCAUUAAUUUGUUGGGAUUGGGACCCGCGUCGUUUACUGUGAAAAAAUUAGAGUGUUUAAAGCAGGCAAUAGCUUGAAUACAUUAGCAUGGAAUAAUAAGAUAGGACUUUGGUACUAUUUUGUUGGUUUGCAUACCAAAUUAAUGAUCAACAGGAACAGUUUGAGGAUAUUCGUAUGAACAUGUCAGAGGUGAAAUUCUUGGAUUUUGAUCAGACGAACUACUGCGAAAGCAUUUAUCAAGGAUGUUUUCA
rnacentral:rRNA from 1 species